AUUGAUGACCCAUGCUAGCCCACUGUGUGUAGAGCAGUAUUUGUCUUGCACAAAAAGUGCAAAAUAAUCUUAAUAUAUUGUCUUAGAGACAGGAAAUACCUGUUCAGAAAAAAAAAAAAAAAAAAAGGCAGUGGGACAACUAUAGAGUAUGUACUAUCAGCCAUAAGUGUACUCAAAAAUAAACCCUUCAAAAGGGCAGAUUUGCCCUUGUGGGACUUCCUUGUCUUUCCAGGGUAAACAUACCACUACCACUAUAAAUAGACAUUUUCUAAGAAAUCAUAUAUAGUUUGAACCAUUUAGGGUUGAUUUGGGAAAACAUGAAAAAGCAUCGCAUAGAAAGCCCACGGACAUGUUUCAUUGGUGUGAGUAGCUAUACAUUUUCUCUGUGUAUGUCACACACUCAGUAACUCAGGAAGAAAAUAAGAUAUGUGGGUACAAAAACUAACUCAUAAUUCUGACUCUCAUAAUCCAAUUAAUUUCUUGUAGAUGUUUGUUUCUCAAAUCAGACAUGGACUACACCAGACUUUUGAAGUAACAUUAUUUUUAUUUAUAGGACAGCAGUAGAUUGAAAUCAAGGUUUCUCUUUCCAAAUAUAUAUAUGCUGAUACAUAACAGAAUUUGGCACAUCAACUAACUUUGUUUUUCUUAAAAGCCUGUCAUGUAGAUACAGUAAGCAAAUCCUUUUCUCUCCUGAAUCUGUAUGAAUUUGUAACAGUGUCCUUAUAUAUUAUCAAUAUUUUUCUCCUAAAGAGUCAGGUUUCCUUGUUUGGCAGAAUACUUUUAAUUAAGGCACACCCAUAAAGACUGGAAUGUUGGAGGAUGAUGUUUUUUGGAGCUGCUGCUGCGUGCUUCCUGAACUCAAUCAUUGCUGCAAGACAAGAACAAGAACCCAGGCAAACACAAACAACUGUUUUUGGAUUAUGACCCAUGAAUAAGCAUGACUCAAUAUGGUUAGAGGAUGGCCAUUCUCCCAUCUGCUGUUUGAUUUGCUUGUCCUUCCUGUCAAAAGCAAACAAACAAACCAACAACAAACAUGCAUGAGUUCAGGAGACCUGGGAGAUCAGACACCUGAUUUCACUAUAUGAAGACCUUUUUCUUGAAGUGACAGAAAAGACAACAUGCAUCUCUAAGACCUGUUCAAUCAAAGGGGUGAGUCACCUUCACAUGGAGUCUGGAGCUUUGUGUGUCCCAGGCCAGAGCUGGUAGCAAAAUCCUGAAACACCAGGCUUAGGAGAGCUGAAAGUACCCUGAUAGACUCCAUCAGACUGUUUGCAAUGAAACCCUAUCUUUGUAAAAUGCUAAUCAGAGCCAGCAAAUAUCCAAGCAUCCCAAGAUGAGAAACUCAUCCACCUAGUACUCUGCUGAUGGUCUAGCAGGAGAUCAUUUUCUAAGGGCCACUGUGCCUUAGGACAUCACUCUUCGGACAUCUUAAAGGUACAUUAUAAAAGAAGUUAAUAUGAAGAUAAAUUGUUUGCUGGAAGGAAAAAAAGAGGGAAGAAAGAGAAGAAACAAAAGAAAGAGUGAGCAAAGAGCAGAAGCCUCCUUGAUCUAGCCAUCACUUGGCUGAAUGGGAGGCACAGGUUCACAUUACACUCCUUUGGAAUGAUAAUCACACCCUUCUUUGAGGCUGACACACCACUGGGAGGAUUAUCUUUGCAGGGCAGCCCAGAUCCUUCUCACUGAUAAAGCUGCUGUAUCUGAAAAGUAUUUGGCAGAACUGUCACCAUACACACAAACAGAGGAGCUGACUCUCCUAACCUCAGAGGCUUGGUAUGGGGAGUUGUCUGCAUCAGCUCCUGUGCCCUUCAGAUCAACUCUACAAAUCACCUCUGCAACUUGGAGAAGAAAACACGGUUUCCUUGGGGAGCUUUGAGGUGGUUUUAUUAAUGGUUUCCAAACCUUCUGAGGUAACAUUUUCAAGGGCUAAAAAGAAUCUGAAGAAAUUAUCCAGUAGAUGUGCUUCAUUGGAACUGCUCUGAUCUCUCAGAGAAAGAACUCUCUUUAUGGCCAAAUAAUGCUUGGGGAUAGAUUUGCCGAACAGCACUUUUCUUUCCAAGGACCCAUAAAUCUCAGAGUACUUUGGAGAGUAAUAAAUGUUGCAAUAAUGUUGUUCUUGAUUACAGGCAAGACUAUAACAGCUCUGACUGGCAGUGAUUCCAUAAUUAUGUUUGAUUACAGACAGGCUCUGUGCGAUGCAAGGGGGUUAUUUGUUGCCUUCUAUCAGUCCUGGAUUCCACUGGGUUCCACUGGAGACCAAGAGCACUCCAUGCCACACAGCAUACACAGCUUACUCAGCUGCCUUCCUCAGAGCUUUGUCACUAAAGCAAAGCAUUUAAUAGCAGGAGCUGGGAUAGUUGGGUGUGCAAAACCUUUUAUGGAACUGUAAUUAAGCCACUAUGUAACUACAUCAAGUGAGGGCCACUACCUAAGAGGAUCCUGAAUUUCAGCAGCCCUUGAGGACCUGAUCUUGCAAACUUCAUAGUGUGCAGGGGCUAAAGUUACUAGUGCCUUUACUACAACACAGUAAGGGCCAAAGUGUCAAUGAGAAAUAAACUAUAUCUCUAACAUUGUCCACACUUUCUAUUACUAAAGAAUUUUAAAAAAGGAAAAGCUCCAUUAAGUCAA